AUUGAACGCUGGCGGCAGGCCUAACACAUGCAAGUCGAACGAGUGGCGGACGGGUGAGUAAUGUAUGGGAAACUGCCCGAUGGAGGGGGAUAACUACUGGAAACGGUAGCUAAUAACGCAUACCAUCGGAUGUGCCCAGAUGGGAUUAGCUAGUAGGUGGGGUAAAGGCUCACCUAGGCGACGAUCCCUAGCUGGUCUGAGAGGAUGACCAGCCACACUGGAACUGAGACACGGUCCAGACUCCUACGGGAGGCAGCAGUGGGGAAUAUUGCACAAUGGGCGCAAGCCUGAUGCAGCCAUGCCGCGUGUGUGAAGAAGGCCUUCGGGUUGUAAAGCACUUUCAGCGGGGAGGCGUUACCCGCAGAAGAAGCACCGGCUAACUCCGUGCCAGCAGCCGCGGUAAUUC
rnacentral:rRNA from 1 species